CCCCAGGCUGGCUACUGCGCUUGCGCCUACGACUCUACGGGGCGCGGGCGUCGGGAACGCGCCUCCUCCGUGGCUCGCGCAGCCGCGGGGACUCCGUGGAAACCGAAGGCGAGCGAGGGAGGAAGGCGGGAAGCAUGAAGAAAGGGGCUUCCUGCGAGCGGAAACCGGCGUGGAUGCCGUCGGGAAAGGCGGGAGCACCAAAUGGAUUUCUUAUGGAAGUGUGUGUAGACUCGGUGGAGUCGGCCAUGAAUGCAGAAAGAGGAGGUGCUGGUCGGAUUGAACUAUGUGCUGGCUUAUUGGAGGGAGGAACCACGCCCAGCAUGGGUAUCCUUCAAGUAGUAAAACAAAAUGUCCAGAUUCCAGUUUUUGUGAUGAUUCGACCACGGGGAGGUGAUUUUUUAUAUUCAGAUCGUGAAAUUGAAGUGAUGAAGGCUGACAUUCGUCUUGCCAAGCUUUAUGGUGCUGAUGGUUUGGUAUUUGGGGCAUUGACUGAAGAUGGACACAUUGACAAAGAGCUGUGCAUGUCUCUUGUGGCUCUCUGCCGUCCUCUGCCGGUCACUUUUCACCGAGCCUUCGAUAUGGUUCAUGAUCCAAUGGCAGCUCUGCAGACCCUCCUGACUUUGGGAUUUGAACGUGUUUUGACCAGCGGAUGUGACAGUUCAGCACUCGAAGGACUGCCUCUAAUAAAGCAACUCAUAGAUGAGGCAAAAGGCAGGAUUGUGGUGAUGCCAGGAGGCGGUAUAACAGAUAAAAAUCUGCAGAGAAUUCUUGAGGGUUCAGGUGCUACAGAAUUCCACUGUUCUGCUCGAUCUUCUAGAGACUCAGAAAUGAAGUUUCGAAAUUCCUCUGUUGCAAUGGGAGCUUCACUUGCUCAUUCAGAAUAUUCUCUAAAGGUAACAGAUGUGACAAAAGUAAGGACUUUGUAUGCGAUUGCAAGGGACAGCCUAGUUUAGCUUCUGAGAGACGUGGACUCACUGUGAAGACUGAGCGGAACCGUCAGUUCUCCACGUGGCCAUGGAGUGUGUUUCCAAGAAGAAAAAGAAAUUGGAACAGCAAUGCAAUCCUUUUCUCUGCCAGUCAUUGCUGUCAUGGUGGCUAAAUUUAGCCUGUGCUUCUUCCUCAGGGAAUUCACUGAUACAGUGGCAAAGGUCAACUCUAAGCUUUCCAGGACCUGUCUAUUUCAAACCUCUCUCCAGGAGGCAUAGCGUUCUGAAGCCAGCACUCAUUUUGUACACUCCACUACAUGAAUAUAAUUAAAUAAGUUUUAGCCCUUCAAAGUACCACAUCCUGGAAACAAAAAAUGUGAUGCUCUCCAGCUUAGUAAAAUGAUCUUUGUACCUUUUCUUCUGGUCCUCGCCUGUCUGCUUCAAUCCUGGAACUGGUGCAGGAGGCCUUGACAAGCAAGGGAAAAUGAUAAGAGUGCCACUUGUUCCUCAGGGUUGGCUGGUUCCGGAAACAAGGAGCUCUGAAUUGGAUAUGAGGUUUCUUUUUUUUCUUUGGGGUUUUUAUUU